rnacentral:rRNA from 1 species
CCUGGUGAUUAUGGCGGGGUGGCUGCACCCGAUCCCAUUCCGAACUCGGCCGUGAAACACCCCAGCGCCAAUGGUACUUCGUCUUAAGACGCGGGAGAGUAGGUCGUCGCCAGGU